rnacentral:other from 1 species
UUCCUGGGGUGUUCGUCAGUGUUCUGAGUUCCCGAGCCAAUAUACACACCAAGGGUGUUAAUUCCUUUACUAUUGCGCAAGCCCGGCAUGCACCGGGAAGCCUGCGGUGAUAAUUAACUCCCGCCUUGAACCGUCUGGUUCGAGGGCCAAUGUUCACAGCGGCACUUUGGGAAG